AUUGAACGCUGGCGGCAGGCCUAACACAUGCAAGUCGGGCGGUAACAGGAAUGAGCUUGCUGAUUCGCUGACGAGCGGCGGACGGGUGAGUAAUGUCUGGGAAACUGCCUGAUGGAGGGGGAUAACUACUGGAAACGGUAGCUAAUACCGCAUAACGUCUACGGACCAAAGUGGGGGACCUUCGGGCCUCAUGCCAUCAGAUGUGCCCAGAUGGGAUUAGCUAGUAGGUGGGGUAACGGCUCACCUAGGCGACGAUCCCUAGCUGGUCUGGGAGGAUGACCAGCCAACAGGGAACUGAGACACGGUCCAGACUCCUACGGGAGGCAGCAGUGGGGAAUUUUGCACAAUGGGCGCAAGCCUGAUGCAGCCAUGCCGAGUGUAUGAAGAAGGCCUUCGGGUUGUAAAGUACUUUCAGCGGGGAGGAAGGUGUUGUGGUUAAUAACCGCAGCAAUUGACGUUACCCGCAGAAGAAGCACCGGCUAACUCCGUGCCAGCCGCCGCCGUAA
rnacentral:rRNA from 1 species